rnacentral:rRNA from 1 species
UACGUAGGGUGCGAGCGUUAAUCGGAAUUACUGGGCGUAAAGGGCGCGUAGGCGGCCGAUCAAGUCAGGCGUGAAAUUCCCGGGCUCAACCUGGGGGCUGCGCUUGAUACUGAUUGGCUUGAAUGCGGGAGAGGAUAGUGGAAUUCCCAGUGUAGAGGUGAAAUUCGUAGAUAUUGGGAAGAACACCGGUGGCGAAGGCGGCUAUCUGGCCCGUAAUUGACGCUGAGGCGCGAAAGCGUGGGGAGCGAACAGG